rnacentral:lncRNA from 1 species
UCAAGAGUCCUUCAACUACAUCAGCAGACAAGAUGGACAGAAGCUUCCCAUGACGUUGUUUGAAAUCCAAGGGAUCUAAUACAAUAGAUGCUAGCUUCCUUAACUCUUUCAAAUCUGGACAUCUGAAACUGUACUUCUUAGUGUUCCUUCGUCCACAAUCCAUGGUCUAAAAAUAUUUGCAAAUGAUACCUUAGUGUCG